ACAGAACGUGGCUCUAAACCUCUUAUAAGAGCCUUAGAAGAGUGCUAAAAGUAGAAUGUGGCAUUUCCAUGCCUUGACUUAUUCUGUGCUUGGGGCCUCUGAGAAGCAGACAUCACUUUUUAAUUGCCCCAACAUGAGAGUGGAACCAAAGCAUGAUAGAUAGAAUCAGCAGAAUUCAAAAUGCCCCCAGCAACUAUUCUCUCUCUCUCUCUGGGCAUAACAUAGAAGCAAUGGCUUCUUGUGCCUUGAAUCUUGAAGCUGACAGUCAGUAUUGGCUUUAAAAUUUCCCCAUUCGUUCAUCCUGUUUCCAUAAAUGAUGCAGUUAUUUGAAACACACACCAGACACACUGCAUUUUCUUUCUAAUUCCAUUUGACCUUGUUGGGACACAACAAAUCCUAAUCAGCUGACAGGAGAAAUCAGAUGCUGCACUAUACGCUCUCCCCUAGCAAAGUAUUUCCUUCUGUUUAUGCCAAAUCAUGCAAUUAAAUGAAGGGCAUGCUGGCCUCAUGGCGAACCAACUGCCAGGAUGACGGAGGGGAGGGAUUUGACACACAGGGCAUAGGGAAAUGCCGCAGAUGUUUACAGGAAAUUGUAUUAGUUGCCUGAGGAGACCUGAAAGCCACAAACGUCACAGAGCUGCAGGACAGAAACAGGGCCCGGUGGUUCUCAAGGGGGCAGUCACCUGAUCCUAUGGUAAUCCAAGAACAGGAGCUCACCCCAGGGUCAGCCUGGCUCUCUGGCUUCUUCUGGGGAUUGUACUUGGAAGGGACUAACCCAUGAGGGGUGGGCUUCUUCUUCUCUGUGAUAUUGAUCAUCCACUGCCUCUUCUAUUUUAUGUUUUCCUUUGUCUCAAUUUUUAAAUUUUUAUUUUAACAUAUUUUAUUUUUAAAUAAAAGUAAUGCUUUGCACACACGGCGACAUGCACAAUGUACAGAAGGGUAUAAAAUGACCCCAUUAAGCCCUCUCCCCAAAGAUAACCACUAUUAACUUUUUUUUUCCUGGACCCUUUAGUGGGGAAACGGCUUCAUACACCUGAAUGUGUAUAUGCUCAAAAACAAUUUACGAGCAAUGUCCUGCAUGGUUGUUUGCUUUUCACUUAGUAAUGAAUCUUUGCACAUUGGUGUAGUCCGUCCAAGCACCAGUGUUCCUGGGCUAUUGCAAAAUCCUCCUAGCUGAUUUCCCUGCUUCUACCCAACUUACUCUCUAUAGUUCAUUCCAGAGGGAUCCUGCUAAAAGAUAAAUCAGAUCAUAUACCUGUUUGUUCACAACUGUCCAGGGCCUUUGACUUGCUCUAAGAAUGAAAGCUAAGCUUGCUAUCACCAACCGCUUCCUUAAGUCCACCUCCUAUGAACUGCUUGGUCAUUUGUUGCAGUCAUACUACUCAUCUAGGCCAAACGUGGUCCUACCUCAGGACCUUUGCCCCUACUACUCCUGCUUCCUGAGGUGUACACAUUUGUUUUCUGCCCCUCUUUGUAUGGCAAGCUCUUGCUUAUCAUUCUUGUCUCAUUUCAGACCACCUUCUCCCUGACCACCUGCUCUAAAUCAGCCCCUAUCACUGUUCUUCACAUCCUCCUGCUUUCUUUUCGUUCACAGACCUUACUGCCAUGGACCAUUAUGAUAUUCAGUUAGCUGUUUACUGGUUUGUUUCCUGGCCCCUCUGCCACACACACUGGAAUAUAAACUCCAUGAGGAAAGCAGGGAUUUCAUCUGUCUUUUCACCAUUACAUCCUCAGAGUCUAGACCAGUGGUUCUCAAGCUUGGAUAUGCGUCGGAAUCACGUGGAGGUUGAUUAAAACACAGAUUGCUGGGCCCCAACUCCAAAGCUUCUAAUUCAGGAGGUCUGGAGUGGGCCUGGAAAUGUGCACGGCUAGCAAGUUCCCAGAUGAUGGUGAAACUGCGUCCAGGAACCAAACUCUGAGAACCCUCAGUCUCGACAGUGCCUGGCCCACGUAAACUCACAGAGAAGCGAGCAGGCUUGGAUCCUAAGACCUCAGAGCUCUGUUACCCCCAGGCUAGGCCCUUCUCUGCUUCUAGGUUGGCUAGGCAACUCUGCUCCGUGUAAUCCUUAAUCAAGGACACUGAGCUCAAGGAGGUCAAGGAACUCGUCCUCUGCAUUCAGGAAAGAAAAAAGAGGGGCUGCCCACCCUUGAUCUCCCAGGUCUUGACGUCUGAGGACUUACCAUCAUGGUUGAUGAGAUCGCAAUACAUGAUCACAGUGGCAGGUGGAGACAGCCAAGUGGGGCUUUGGGACUCUUCAGGAAGAUAAUUCAAAUGGCGGGAUAUUUUAAGAACCCAAGAAAGCCGGUGACUGUGCCGCUGGCUCAAGUUUGAGAACCACUGCUCUGUAGUCCAGAAUAUCUUCCUGGGAAUUAGCUGGGAUGCAAAACCAUGUUGCCAUCUGAUCUCAUCACACUUCUGCCAAGAGGUGAAAUCUAAGAGUCCACGUUCUUGAUGCCUGACAUCUUCUUCAGGUCACUUACCUGAGAACACCUGAGGACACUGAGCUGCUGAUCCCUGGAAAAUUUAUAGAUCUUCAGAAGAAUUCCCCUAGGAACUCUGGAGACAAGAGAAACCUAUGUCCACCCAGCAGUACAGACUGGGAAUGCUCAGAAUGUCUUUCUACCACCCCCAUGAGAGCCAGAGAUCAAACAGCUAUCCCAGAAGGCCAGAAACUGGAGAUGUUUUUAAAAUUUGUUUUAAAUUUCAUUUUAUUAAACUUGGUGUUGUUUCAAAACUUGAGACAGAUUACUAAAAUGUACACAGUGUAUCUCAGCAAGAGGAAUGAAAACAAAGGGAAAGUAAAGGAAGGGAAACAGACAAAACCAGGUAGAAUUUUUUUGCAUGAAUUCUUUGGUAUACCAUUAGUAAAAGGCAGCACACAGGUUUGGUUCUGAGCCUUUUAGCAAGCAAAAAAGUGAUCAGGGCGCCUGGGUGGCUCAGUUGGUUAAGAGUCUGACUUCAGCUCUGGUCAUGAUCU